GAUGAACGCUAGCGGCAGGCCUAAUACAUGCAAGUCGAACGGGUGGUCGCAAGACCACUAGUGGCGCACGGGUGCGUAACGCGUAACCAACCUGCCCCGAUCUGGGGGAUAGCCCGCCGAAAGGCGGAUUAAUACCGCAUAUACCCGCAGCCUGGCAUCAGGCAACGGGGAAAGAUUUAUUGGAUCGGGAUGGGGUUGCGUGACAUUAGCUAGUUGGCGGGGUAAGGGCCCACCAAGGCGACGAUGUCUAGGGGACCUGAGAGGGUGAUCCCCCACACUGGCACUGAGAUACGGGCCAGACGCCUACGGGAGGCAGCAGUAGGGAAUAUUGGGCAGUGAGCGAGAGCCUGACCCAGCCAGGCCGCGUGCCGGAUGAAGGCCUUCUGGGUUGUAAACGGCUUUUCUCAGGGAAGAAAAAGACCUUGCGAGGUACACUGACGGUACCUGAGGAAUAAGCACCGGCUAACUCCGUG
rnacentral:rRNA from 1 species